rnacentral:rRNA from 1 species
GACGAACGCUGGCGGCGUGCCUAACACAUGCAAGUCGAGCGAAUGAAGUUCCUUCGGGAAUGGAUUUAGCGGCGGACGGGUGAGUAACACGUGGGCAACCUGCCUCAUAGAGGGGAAUAGCCUUCCGAAAGGGAGAUUAAUACCGCAUAAGAUUGUAGUAUCGCAUGAUACAGCAAUUAAAGGAGCAAUCCGCUAUGAGAUGGGCCCGCGGCGCAUUAGCUAGUUGGUGAGGUAACGGCUCACCAAGGCGACGAUGCGUAGCCGACCUGAGAGGGUGAUCGGCCACAUUGGGACUGAGACACGGCCCAGACUCCUACGGGAGGCAGCAGUGGGGAAUAUUGCACAAUGGGGGAAACCCUGAUGCAGCAACGCCGCGUGAGUGAUGACGGCCUUCGGGUUGUAAAGCUCUGUCUUCAGGGACGAUAAUGACGGUACCUGAGGAGGAAG